AGACCACCAGCCUUCUUGCUGAGAAAGCAAGCAGACUCACAGUUUUUCAGCAUCUCAAGGAGUCUGAAGCAGUGAUCUAGUUCCCUCAAAGGGUCUUUGGAUUCUCUCUGCUUUACUGAUAAAAAAUAAAUUUGGAGAAGCUGAAUGUUUUCUCUAAGGACACACAGCAAGUUAGUGGGAGGCUGCUUCCUGCAACUGAAGGUCAUUCCUCUUUGUCAGAAGACUAAGGGUCCCUGACCUGAUCUGUGGAGCACCAGGGUGGAGAGAGUG